CAUUUUUCAGAUGAAGAAACUGAAAUAAACAGGUUGUUUAUUGGGUUUGGAGAUAUUUACCUUUGGGCAAACAUCCUUGCUCCAUGGGAUGUUUGCCUGGCUGAAAUGAUGUUAAUGAUGAUACCCACAUAAGGCGUGAAGAAGGAUCAAGGACCUUCUUCAGCAUCCAAAGAACAAACCCUGGAGUCAGAGGACCUGGCUGGAUUUUCAGGAGCCACCUACCAAGGGAAACUCUGGAACACCAAGUCAACAAAUUGUCUGCUUUCCUAAGCAGGGUGAAAUGACAGUCCAGUUUUCCAAUUUGCUGUAGACAUCAAAGCUGGCUGUGAGGAAAGAGAUUGGAUUGGACUGUCAGAGAAGAAGACAGGAAGAAAAACAGGAGGUAUUUCCAAAAGACUGUCUCAGGGCAAAAACCUCCCUCCUGAUUCUCUGUGGAUGUAGAGAUUUCUAGUUCUGACUGCUAAUAAAU